rnacentral:rRNA from 1 species
GGAGUUAGCCGGUGCUUCUUCUGCGAGUAACGUCACAGAUGUAAGGUAUUAACUUACACCCUUUCCUCCUCGCUGAAAGUGCUUUACAACCCGAAGGCCUUCUUCACACACGCGGCAUGGCUGCAUCAGGGUUUCCCCCAUUGUGCAAUAUUCCCCACUGCUGCCUCCCGUAGGAGUCUGGGCCGUGUCUCAGUCCCAGUGUGGCUGAUCAUCCUCUCAGACCAGCUAGGGAUCGUCGCCUAGGUGAGCCUUUACCUCACCUACUAGCUAAUCCCACCUGGGCUUAUCCAUCAGCGCAAGGCCCGAAGGUCCCCUGCUUUCCCCCGUAGGGCGUAUGCGGUAUUAGCAGUCGUUUCCAACUGUUAUCCCCACAAAUGGGCAAAUUCCCAGGCAUUACUCACCCGUCCGCCGCUCGUCAUCUUCAAAAGCAAGCUUUUGAAAUGUUACCGCUCGACUUGCAUGUGUUAGGCCUGCCGCCAGCGUUCAAUCUAAGCCAGGAUCAAACUCUGA